UACAAGAAGUUACUUUUAAAGUCUCUCAAAUGAGAAAAAGAGUUUAUUUUUCUGGGAUUUUAUUAUAUCAGCUUUACUGAGUUGCUUGGCAGGUCUUCUUAUUUAACUGGUGUGUGCAUCCACUGCAAAAACAUGCCAAAUUAUAAAGACCAUCGAUGCUAAGAAGAAACUGCAUCAACUAACGAGCGAAAUAACCAGCUAACAUCAUAAUGCCAGGAUCAGUUUCACACAUAACAAUA
rnacentral:lncRNA from 1 species